rnacentral:rRNA from 1 species
CCAAUAGCGUAUAUUAAAGUUGUUGCAGUUAAAAAGCUCGUAGUUGAAUUUCGGGGUCAGUAGGCUGGUCGUGCCACUGGUAUGCACUGGUCUCACUGAUUCCUCCUUCCUGAUGAAUCGUAAUGCCAUUAAUUUGGUGUUGCGGGGAAUCUGGACUGUUACUUUGAAAAAAUUAGGGUGUUUAAAGCAGGCUAACGCUUGAAUACAUUAGCAUGGAAUAAUGAAAUAGGACGAUCGAUCCUAUUUUGUUGGUUUCUAGGAUUGACGUAAUGAUUAAUAGGGAUAGUUGGGGGCAUUAGUAUUCAAUUGUCAGAGGUGAAAUUCUUGGAUUUAUUGAAGACUAACUACUGCGAAAGCAUUUGCCAAGGAUGUUUUCAUUAAUCAAGAACGAAAGUUAGGGGAUCGAAGACGAUCAGAUACCGUCGUAGUCUUAACCAUAAACUAUGCCGACUAGGGAUCGGAUGAUGUUAAUUUUUUAAUGACUCAUUCGGCGCCUUACG